GGAUUAUCGGACUGGAUUAAGAGGACGAGCUGCUGGAUUUAAGGACACUUAAACCAAACACUGAGCAGAGACACAGAGGGGGAGGCCCGGGAGGACACCUCCUCACUGAGGUGCAGCUGAGAUGAGGAUGGAAGUCCAGACACAGCGGCUCCAGGAGGGGCGGAGCCAAAGACCCGGACCUUACCGCUCUGUGGGACCCACUGAGAAGGACAAGGGUAUCCAUCUUCAUCUUCAUCUCAGGGCUGUUAUUAAAGCCCUGUUGUUGCCGUGGUUUCCUGUGAACUCCUCCCCUCUCUGUGGGGGAAAUAUCUCUCGGCUGUGAGUCAUGGCCGAGGAUGUUGGGUG